UACGUAGGGUGCAAGCGUUAAUCGGAAUUACUGGGCGUAAAGCGUGCGCAGGCGGUUUUGUAAGUCUGUCGUGAAAUCCCCGGGCUCAACCUGGGAAUUGCGAUGGAGACUGCAAGGUUAGAAUCUGGCAGAGGGGGGUAGAAUUCCACGUGUAGCAGUGAAAUGCGUAGAGAUGUGGAGGAACACCGAUGGCGAAGGCAGCCCCCUGGGUCAAGAUUGACGCUCAUGCACGAAAGCGUGGGGAGCAAACAGG
rnacentral:rRNA from 1 species